ACAAUCCUCCACUCCCAGCAGCUCCGUCACACUCCAACCCAACUCCAACUCGGUCUGCUGGGGUUUCCCAAAGUCCUCUUAAAGUCCAUGACAAGGAAGUAUUUCUUCUCCGGGUCAACACCACAUUUUUCUUCAUCAAGUGUCCCGGAUUUACUACCGGCUUCCGUCCUCGUGACCCCAAAGUACUUCCGGGGUGGUGUAAUUAUAAAAGUCAACAGGUUCUUGGUGAACUCCCCCUGGUGGCACCCAACAGGGCUGAAGAGAUGGACUCCAUGUCCCGUGCUGCCCUGCGGGAAUCCAAGGAACCAUUUCCAUCCGGGCGAGCUGCCAUCUAGCGUCCCGGGGAAUGUAGUGCCCUAAAAAGGCUGUCUUCUUUUGUUGAGGGACUUCCUGGCCAGACUGAAACACAGACCGUCCAUCACACUAUGAAAUAAAUGAUUUACUAUACAUGUUUCUGAAAAACCAAAACAGUUUUUUUUUCUUUCAGACAGUCUAAUUAUAGAAAAUCAAAAUCUAAAAAAAGAAAAGAAAGAUUUAAGACAACAGCUUGAAAAACGGGGGAUCGUCCCUGAGGAAGAUUGGAGGAAAAUGCAAGAAAUGGAAGUCAAUAUUUUUCUGGACUGUGACUCAGCACACCCUGAUGUUUCUGUAGAUGUUGAUGCCUUACAAGUAAGAUUCGUAGGAAAUGCAUGAGGAUCUGACAGGUGGUAUUGCGUUACCAUCGCUGAGGGGCUACCAACAAGGAAUCACUACUGGGAGGUGGAAGUUGGUGAGAAAAGCAGCUGGGCAAUUGGAGUAGUAACCACAGAAAUUAAAAAGAUGAAGAUUAUUCCUGAAACCCCAGGUGAUGGACUCUGGCUCGUCCGUUUAUGCAGGGGGAAGAAGUUUGAAGCUCUUUCCAACACUGUCACUGAUCUUCAAGAAAAACCUAAAAAAGUUGGGGUAUUCCUUGGAGAAAAUUACUUGUCCUUUUAUAAUGCAGAGAAUACAAAAAAAAUCUACACCUUUCAGAUGCAAUACUCUGAGCAUCUUUUUCCUGUUUUCAGUCCUGGUUCAAGUGACAGAGGACCUCUAAUAAUCAAGAAAAGCAAACUGUUAACUGAUCUUUCUAAUACUGCUUAAGAUAUUGCUUUGCCACUUCACAUCGUCUUCUUUACCAUUGCUUGUCCACUGAAGUUCUGAACUUGUCUUACAUUUGGACAUGGAAUGUGGCUGUACAUAAACAGGUCAUUGAAUUUUAUGUUCUGUUUCUUGUUGGAGACUCAUCUCUUAAAUACCUUUUUAAUGACUAUGUACACAAAAAUCAUAUUGAAAUAAAAUGUCUUGUUAGAAAUAGAAAUAACCCAUUUAUCCUCAGCACAGUCCCAUCCAUAUCCCAGUCCUUGUAUUUUACUGAAAUUAUAAUAAUCUUUCUGGCUUCCGUACUUGAUUAAUAAGGUAUCUUUUGUAACAGUUUAUUUCAUUUAGCCAGUGUACUCUUCUAGGGAAGUUUUUUUUUUUCUAUUUUAAAUUAAAGUUUACCUUGCUAUUUGUGGCUGA